UACGUAGGGUGCAAGCGUUAAUCGGAAUUACUGGGCGUAAAGCGUGCGCAGGCGGUGAUGUAAGUCAGCUGUGAAAUCCCCGGGCUCAACCUGGGAACUGCAUUUGUGACUGCCUCGCUGGAGUGCGGCAGAGGGGGAUGGAAUUCCGCGUGUAGCAGUGAAAUGCGUAGAUAUGCGGAGGAACACCGAUGGCGAAGGCAAUCCCCUGGGCCUGCACUGACGCUCAUGCACGAAAGCGUGGGGAGCAAACAGG
rnacentral:rRNA from 1 species